GACGAACGCUGGCGGCGUGCUUAACACAUGCAAGUCGAACGGAAAGGCCCUGCUUUUGUGGUGUUCUCGAGUGGCGAACGGGUGAGUAACACGUGAGUAACCUGCCCUUUACUUUGGGAUAACUUCAGGAAACUGGGGCGAAUACCGGAUAUGAUCUCCUGCUGCAUGGUGUGGGUUGGAAAGUUUCGGCGGUUGGGGAUGUACUCGCGGCUUAUCAUCUUGUUGGUGGGGUAGUGGCUUACCAAGGCUUUGACGGGUAGCCGGCCUGAGAGGGUGACCGGCCACAUUGGGACUGAGAUACGGCCCAGACUCCUACGGGAGGCAGCAGUGGGGAAUAUUGCAAAAUGGGCGGAAGCCUGAUGCAGCAACGCCGCGUGCGGGAUGACGGCCUUCGGGUUGUAAACCGCUUUCGCCUGUGACGAAGCGUGAGUGACGGUAAUGGGUAAAGAAGCACCGGCUAACUACGUG
rnacentral:rRNA from 1 species